GACGAACGCUGGCGGCGUGCUUAACACAUGCAAGUCGAACGGUGAAGCGCCUUCCUUUUUGGUGGGUGUGGAUGAGUGGCGAACGGGUGAGUAACACGUGAGUAACCUGCCCCCUUCUUCUGGAUAACCGCAUGAAAGUGUGGCUAAUACGGGAUAUUCUGGGUCUGUCGCAUGAUGGGUCUGGGAAAGAUAUUGUUUCGGUGGGGGAUGGGCUCGCGGCCUAUCAGCUUGUUGGUGGGGUGAUGGCCUACCAAGGCGGUGACGGGUAGCCGGCCUGAGAGGGUGGACGGUCACACUGGGACUGAGACACGGCCCAGACUCCUACGGGAGGCAGCAGUGGGGACUAUUGCACAAUGGGCGCAAGCCUGAUGCAGCGACGCCGCGUGAGGGAUGGAGGCCUUCGGGUUGUGAACCUCUUUCGCCAGUGAAGCAGGCCUGCCUCGUUUGUGGGUGGGUUGACGGUAGCUGGAUAAGAAGCGCCGGCUAACUACGUG
rnacentral:rRNA from 1 species